rnacentral:rRNA from 1 species
CCUACGGGCGGCAGCAGUGGGGAAUAUUGCACAAUGGGCGCAAGCCUGAUGCAGCCAUGCCGCGUGUGUGAAGAAGGCCUUCGGGUUGUAAAGCACUUUCAGCGGGGAGGAAGGCGUUAAGGUUAAUAACCUUGUCGAUUGACGUUACCCGCAGAAGAAGCACCGGCUAACUCCGUGCCAGCAGCCGCGGGAAUACGGAGGGUGCAAGCGUUAAUCGGGAUUACUGGGCGUAAAGCGCACGCAGGCGGUCUGUCAAGUCGGAUGUGAAAUCCCCGGGCUCAACCUGGGAACUGCAUUCGAAACUGGCAGGCUAGAGUCUUGUAGAGGGGGGUAGAAUUCCAGGUGUAGCGGUGAAAUGCGUAGAGAUCUGGAGGAAUACCGGUGGCGAAGGCGGCCCCCUGGACAAAGACUGACGCUCAGGUGCGAAAGCGUGGGGAGCAAACAGGAUUAGAUACCCGGGUAGUC